rnacentral:lncRNA from 1 species
CCCAGUAUGGUCCCCUGCGUGGCCCUUGCAUCAGCUCCAGCUGCCAUGUUCCUGCCCUGCUUGAGUUCUUGCCUGUGGUUCGUGAACUUUUAUAUGUAACUGCAUUUAAGUCAGAUGAACUGCACAGACACUGUAAUGGAGGCAAAGAACCAAGAAACCUUAGGAACUCUGGAAGACCAUGAGAGGACACGUCUGUCUCCACACCUUCCCAAGUCCAGAAUCUCUGUGGAAAGUGAAGGUAAUAGAAGCAGUCCUUCUGUACUGACAGACAGACAUCCUCAGCAUGAGGAAAAGCUACGAGACCACAGGCUGCCGGGAGAGGAAGAGCGAGAAAAGGAAGAGAGCCUUUCCCAGGCCAGCCCCUCCGAGGAGGUCUGCUGCUAGGCAAAUACGUCAAGGUUUGCUCUCUGGAGAUUUUCAGCGCAUCCUGUCCCAGAUUCUCAUUUGGUUAUUUGUCAACGACUGGUUUUCAUGUUGCCCAUGUGUGCACAAAUGCACAUGAAGGCAUGAAACACGUGAAGGAUUCUCUGCCUACAGUUGUUGGGCCAUCGCGUGUCGUAGACUCCAAGAUAGCAGGUCAUGUCUUCCUCUGAGGUGGAGAGACCUACAUCCUAAACACUUCUCAAGUCUCUUCUCUUUAAAGCUAGCACAGUUUAAGCGCAUCUUCAGUCUUGCCUUAAGCCCUGCAACGCUGUCCGCUCACCCUGCCAGUCGUUCUCGGGAUACACCGGCUCAUCUCAUAGUUUGUAUAUGUUUAUCUUUGUACAGAAAGCCAGGCCACUUCAGGGUGUUAGGUAGCAAUUCCCAUCAUCAGUGGUCCUUAACAUCCCCUGUCACAUUAGCACUGUGUACACUUAACUUUCCAAGGCUGUUCCAGCAUAUAGAGCAGCCUGAGAAACAAGUGUUAUGGUUUUCUAGAUCCCUCACCCUAGACUGGAGGCUAGGACUGGAUUACAGAAUGAAUACUUAAUGUGCACAAAGCCCUGGAAUUGAGCCCUAGCAUUGCCCAAACACAAGGCACGGAGAAGGGAUGGUAUAAAAAUGCCUGGUAAAUUUUUCUUCGAUAUGAAUAAAAUGCUGUGCCUAUCACAUCUCUGUGAUCCCCAAAAGACACAUUUUUGAACACAAGGAAAGGGGAAAGAAUAUGCUAGAAGAUAGAAUCGUAUCAAGAAUUAUUUGUUACAAUGCUGCUGCAGUUAUAAUGCUGCCCUUAGAGCUGCACACUGAAUUCUGCCCAGGGUGUUGGUUCCUUAAUGUACCCCUCAUCCAAGCAGAGGGUACAGUUUGACUCCAGCUUUGAAUAUGCUAGGCCCAGGGAGUGGCACAAUUAGGAGGUGUGGCCUUGCUGGAGUAGGAAAGGUGUCACUUUGGGGGUGGACUUUGAGAUCCUUCUUCUAGCUGCUUGGAAGACAGUCUCUUCCUGUUUCCCUUCAGAUCAAGAUGUAGAACUCUUGGCUCCUCCAGCACCAUGUCUGCCUGCAUGGUGCCAUGCUUCCUGCCAUGAUGAUUAUAGUCUCAAUCUCUGAACCUGUUGUGCAAGCUACUCUAGUUGUGUGCAGUGGUGGCUGUUCUCGGUUUGACUACAUCUGGAACUAAAACCCAAGCAGCUGGGGACACCUGUGCAUGGAUUUCCUUAAUUAAAGCACGUGAAGUGGGAAGAGCCAUCUUUAAUCUGCGUCACACCUGCUGGAGGCAGGCUACAUAAAUAAAGGACA